CCCCCCCCCCCCCCCCCCCCCCCCCCCCGGCCUGAGGGGCGGGGGGGGACGGGGAUGGGGACAAGGAGCGGGGAGUGGGACAUGAGGGGACACAGGGGCUGAGGGGACACAAGGAUUGGGGAUUCUGGGACAUGAGGGGACACAAGGACUGGGAGGACACGAGGACUGAGGGGGCUGGGACAUGAGGGGACUCAAGGAUUGAGGGGACACGAGGGACAUGAGGGGACACAAGGGAUUGAGGGGACACAAGGAUUGAAGGGACUGGGACCUGAGGGGCUGUGGGGGCUAUCAGAGCUGAGGGGGG
rnacentral:lncRNA from 1 species